AUUGAACGCUGGCGGCAGGCCUAACACAUGCAAGUCGAGCGAGCGGCGGACGGGUGAGUACUGUCUGGGAAACUGCCUGUUGGCGGGGGAUAACUACUGGAAACGGUAGCUAAUACCGCAUACCAUGAGAUGUCGCCAGAGGGUAUUGGCUAGUAGGUGGGGUAACGGCUCACCUAGGCGACGAUCCCUAGCUGGUCUGAGAGGAUGACCGGCCACACUGGAACUGAGACACGGUCCAGACUCCUACGGGAGGCAGCAGUGGGGAAUAUUGCACAAUGGGCGCAAGCCUGAUGCAGCCAUGCCGCGUGUGUGAAGAAGGCCUUCGGGUUGUAAAGCACUUUCAGCGGGGAGGCGUUACCCGAAGAAGAAGCACCGGCUAACUCCGUGCCAGCAGCCGCGGUAAUUC
rnacentral:rRNA from 1 species